rnacentral:lncRNA from 1 species
UAAGAAAUUAUUUAUUACAAUAAACACAACCAUGUACUUAUUGUCCAUAACUUAAUUCUAACUUUUAAUUACAUUAUUUGUGUCUUUAUAUAUUACAUUAUACAUUACAUAAUAUAUAUAUAGAAAAAAGUCACCGGUACCGAUAUACGAUUUGUUUUCUUUUCAGAUUAUGUUUUAAACAAAAACUAAAAAUAAAGUUUUAAAAAAAUAAAUAUAAACUAAAAUCUUCUAUCAAAUAAGAUAGGUAGCUUUUUUCAUAAUAUCGUUUUGAUUGUUGCAAUAAUCGUAUCAAGUUUGUUGUUAAAAAAGCAAAAAUAAGCUGAUAAAGUGUCCUAAGCCGACAUAGAGUAACUAGUAAUGUAUUUUCCUUUUCUUUUUUGUUGACGUGAAUUAUCUGUACAAAAUAUCUACAAGUUAAUAUACAUGUGUAAAAAGUCUUAGAAUUUCGACAUUCUUUAUUUCAAUAUAAAACGUUUUUCGCCCGUUUUUAUAAAUAUCUUACGCUUUUUCUUUGCAGAAACAAGAUGUAAAUAUUCUAAUGUCCUUUAUUCUAUAACGGUUUGUACUAUCUUAUGGUUUAUCUUACCAAUAGAAAGUCAGUUUACGUUGUAAUUUACUCCGAUUUUGUGUUUAAAACCGCAUUAUAAAAAUAAUAAAAAAAGAAAUGAAAAUAAAAAUUUUAAGAUGUUACAAACAUGUAAAAUUAUUUAAUAUUAUUAAUAUUAUUAAUAUUAUUUAAUAUUAUUAAUAAUAUACGCAUUAUUUAAACUUUGUAAUUUGUAGAAAAAAAUUUUGUGCAAAUUUUAGUGUUGCUUUUGAAAAAGGACCCCGCACUCUUAUGGAAAUUAAAUUUCGAUCAAAUCGUCUGAAAUUUUCAGAAAAGUUAGUUCUUACCAUGCUGAUCAAAAGUUAUAACAAGCACAAAGUUCAAAAAUGAUUUUUGAGAUACGUAUGGUUAAAGAUAAAAAAAUGGCUUUUUGAGAUUAGAUUGUUGUAUAGGUUACGCAACACCAAUAAAGUGUGUGUGUGUGUGUGUUACAUUAUUAAGAACCGAUACAAAGUAAUCCAGGCAAUAGAGACAUAAAAAGGGAUUUACCUUGCAAAAGGUCAAGAAAACUUUAUACUUGGCAUAGUUCUUAGGUUUAGCAUACUAACUAAUUAAUACUCUGAGUUUUUGACCUUGAAACGUUGCUGCUCGCGCCGCCAUAUUGAAAAAAUGCAGCAAAAAAUCACUUUUUCACGAAUAUCUCGUCUCCGGUGUGAGAUACGUGGAAAAUAAUUAUAAAAAAUGUAAAGCAUAAAAUUCUCUAGAUUUUGUUGUAACAUUUUUUUUCUCAGAUCAAUAGUUUCCGAGAUACAAUGCGAUUAAAGUGGAAUAUUUUUUCCAAUUUGUCAGAAUAUUUCACUUUUCUCUGGAAACUAUUUCGGAAACUAUUGAUCUGAGAAAAAAAAUGUUACAACAUAAAAUGUAGAGAAUUUUAUACUUUACAUUUUUUAUAAUAACUAUUUUUCACGUAUCUCACACCGGAGACGAGAUAUUCUUGAAAAGGUGAUUUUUUGCUACAUUUUUUCAAUAUGGCGGUGCGAGCGGCAACAUUUCAAGGUCAAAAACUCAGAUGGUCUGUUCUUUUUCGCUGCACUGGUGCAACAAGUUAGAAUGAGAAAAAAUAUAUUUGUCUCAUUUUAACUUAUUGCAUCAGUGCUGCUAAAAAGAACAGGCUUAGAGUAUUAAUUAGUAUACUAAACCUAAGAACUAUGCCAAGUAUAAAGUUUCCUUGACCUUUUGCAAGACAAUUCGACCAAAAUUCAAUUUCCAUAAGGGUGUGUUGCGGGGUCCUUUGUUUUUAGCAGGUUUUAUAUGACAAGAAUCAGGAAAUAAGAGUGUUGUUUUAAAAUACCUGUGUCAGUAUCGGAAACUUCCCUCUAUAUAAAUAUUGUUAUUAUACAUAAUAUUAUAACUCAUUAUAUAUAAUCAUUAUACAUAAUAUUAUAAUUAUCAUUUCACGACAUUUCUAUAAAUCAUAUUUCAUAUUUAAUAACUAUGACAUACUUCUAUAAUAGAUUGUACAAGAUAA